rnacentral:rRNA from 1 species
UACGGGGGAGCAAGCGUUGUUCGGAUUUACUGGGCGUAAAGGGCGCGUAGGCGGCCACCGCAAGUCGACUGUGAAAUCUCCGGGCUUAACCCGGAAAGGUCAGCCGAUACUGCGGGGCUAGAGUGCAGAAGGGGCAACUGGGAAUUCUCGGUGUAGCGGUGAAAUGCGUAGAUAUCGAGAGGAACACCUGCGGCGAAGGCGGGUUGCUGGGCUGACACUGACGCUGAAGCGCGAAAGCUAGGGGAGCAAACAGG